rnacentral:rRNA from 1 species
GACGAACGCUGGCGGCGUGCUUAACACAUGCAAGUCGAACGGUGAAGGGAUCAGCUUGCUGGUUCUGGAUGAGUGGCGAACGGGUGAGUAACACGUGAGUAACCUGCCCCCUUCUUCUGGAUAACCGCAUGAAAGUGUUGCUAAUACGGGAUAUACUGCGCCUGCUGUAUGUGAGGUGUGGGAAAGAUAUUGUUUCGGUUGCGGAUGAGCGCGGGGCCUAUCGGCUUGUUGGUGGGGGGAUGGCCUACCAAGGCGGUGACGGGUAGCCGGGCUGAGGGGGUGGACGGGCAUACUGGGACUGAGACACGGCCCAGACUCCGACGGGAGGCAGCAGUGGGGAAGAUUGCACAAUGGGCGCAAGCCUGAUGCAGCGACGCCGCGUGAGGGAUGGAGGCCUUCGGGUUGUGAACCUCUUUCGCCAGUGAAGCAGGCCUGUACCUUGUGGGUGGGUUGACGGUAGCUGGAUAAGAAGCGCCGGCUAACUACGUG